rnacentral:rRNA from 1 species
CCUACGGGUUGCAGCAGUGGGGAAUAUUGCACAAUGGGCGCAAGCCUGAUGCAGCCAUGCCGCGUGUAUGAAGAAGGCCUUCGGGUUGUAAAGUACUCCCAGAGGGGAGGAAGGUGUUGUGGUUAAUAACCACAGCAAUUGACGUUACCCGCAGAAGAAGCACCGGCUAACUCCGUGCCGGCAGCCGCGGUAAUACGGAGGGUGCAAGCGUUAAUCGGAAUUACUGGGCGUAAAGCGCACGCAGGCGGUCUGUCAAGUCGGAUGUGAAAUCCCCGGGCUCAACCUGGGAACUGCAUUCGAAACUGGCAGGCUAGAGUCUUGUAGAGGGGGGUAGAAUUCCAGGUGUAGCGGUGAAAUGCGUAGAGAUCUGGAGGAAUACCGGUGGCGAAGGCGGCCCCCUGGACAAAGACUGACGCUCAGGUGCGAAAGCGUGGGGAGCAAACAGGAUUAGAUACCCCAGUAG